rnacentral:rRNA from 1 species
AUUGAACGCUGGCGGCAGGCCUAACACAUGCAAGUCGAGCGGAUGAAGGGAGCUUGCUCCUGGAUUCAGCGGCGGACGGGUGAGUAAUGCCUAGGAAUCUGCCUGGUAGUGGGGGAUAACGUCCGGAAACGGGCGCUAAUACCGCAUACGUCCUGAGGGAGAAAGUGGGGGAUCUUCGGACCUCACGCUAUCAGAUGAGCCUAGGUCGGAUUGGCUAGUUGGUGGGGUAAAGGCCUACCAAGGCGACGAUCCGUAACUGGUCUGAGAGGAUGAUCAGUCACACUGGAACUGAGACACGGUCCAGACUCCUACGGGAGGCAGCAGUGGGGAAUAUUGGACAAUGGGCGAAAGCCUGAUCCAGCCAUGCCGCGUGUGUGAAGAAGGUCUUCGGAUUGAAAAGCACUUUAAGUUGGGAGGAAGGGCAGUAAGUUAAUACCUUGCUGUUUUGACGUUACCAACAGAAUAAGCACCGGCUAACUUCGUG